rnacentral:misc_RNA from 1 species
UCUCCGUUGGUGAACCAGCGGAGGGAUCAUUACCGAGUUUACAACUCCCAAACCCCAUGUGAACCUUACCAAACGUUGCUUCGGCGGGAUGCCCCGGGCGCGGGCCGCAAGGUCUCAGCCCCGGAACCAGGCGCCCGCCGGAGGCCCAAACCAAACUCUUGUUUUUGUAGAAUCUUCUGAGUGGCCUUUUAGGCAAAAAAUGAAUCAAAACUUUCAACAACGGAUCUCUUGGUUCUG